rnacentral:lncRNA from 1 species
CAUAGGAUCACUUAGAGCCAUCGGAUUGUGCAUAAGAUGUGGGUUACCACCGAAGUAUAUGGGAAGGAGUGUUCCUGGUCAUCUGAUUGGGUGUUUAGAUCUAUUUUUAGUCGUUGAUUAGUGCAAACAAGCUUCCGCCCUCUCUGUAGACUGCGAUGUGGACCGACGCCUGUUUCUGUGGACCGUCGGUGGAUCGAUCAACUGGUCCAUGGUACACUGAGCAGAUUUUGGGUUGGUUUGGGCUUGGUUUUGAGUCUAAUUUGGGUUGAUUUUAAGCUUAAUUUGGCUUGGAUUUGAUCCUCCUUUGGGUCUCCAUUUGAGAUCCAUUUUGAGUCCAAUUUGUUCUCAAUUUGAGUCUUUUUAACUUGUGAAUAGGGCUUUUUGUAUUGGCGGUCAUCUUUCUUGCAAAAGAGAAGUAGAAGC